rnacentral:rRNA from 1 species
GAUUCCCCUAGUAACGGCGAGUGAAGCGGGAAAAGCUCAAAUUUGAAAUCUGGCGUCCUCCGGGCGUCCGAGUUGUAAUCUGGAGAGGCGUUGUCCGCGGCGGACCUCGUACAAGUCCUUUGGGAUGAGGCGUCAUAGAGGGUGAGAAUCCCGUAUAUGACGAGGACUACCGUCGCUUUGUGUCGCGCCCUCGAAGAGUCGAGUUGUUUGGGAAUGCAGCUCAAAAUGGGUGGUAAAUUCCAUCUAAAGCUAAAUAUUGGCGAGAGACCGAUAGCGAACAAGUACCGUGAGGGAAAGAUGAAAAGAACUUUGGAAAGAGAGUUAAACAGUACGUGAAAUUGCUGAAAGGGAAACGCUUGAAGUCAGUCGUCUCGGCGAGGACUCAGCCCGGCUUCUGUUGGGUGUACUUCCUCUGCCGAGGGGUCAGCAUCAGUUUUGGGCGUCGAAGAAGGUUGUGAGGAAGGUGGCACCCUCGGGUGUGUUAUAGCCUCAUGACGGACGCGGCGCCUGGGACUGAGGACCGCUUUUUAAAGGAUGCUGGCGUAAUGGCUUUAAGCGACCCGUCUUGAAACACGGACCANGGAGUCUAACAUGCUCGCGAGUGUUCGGGUGGUAAACCCUUGCGCGUAAUGAAAGUGAAAAGUUGGGACCCUUCGCGG